CCUACGGGAGGCAGCAGUGGGGAAUUUUGGACAAUGGGCGCAAGCCUGAUCCAGCAAUGCCGCGUGCAGGAUGAAGGCCUUCGGGUUGUAAACUGCUUUUGUACGGAGCGAAACGGUCUGCCCUAAUACGGUGGGCUAAUGACGGUACCGUAAGAAUAAGCACCGGCUAACUACGUGCCAGCAGCCGCGGUAAUACGUAGGGUGCGAGCGUUAAUCGGAAUUACUGGGCGUAAAGCGUGCGCAGGCGGUGAUGUAAGACAGAUGUGAAAUCCCCGGGCUCAACCUGGGACCUGCAUUUGUGACUGCAUCGCUAGAGUACGGUAGAGGGGGAUGGAAUUCCGCGUGUAGCAGUGAAAUGCGUAGAUAUGCGGAGGAACACCGAUGGCGAAGGCAAUCCCCUGGACCUGUACUGACGCUCAUGCACGAACGACGGUGGGAGGACGAACGAGAGUAGUAUACCGUACGGUACGUACCGACCGACCGUAACCGACUAGUACACUGGUUGGUUGGUUCGUUCUACU
rnacentral:rRNA from 1 species